rnacentral:rRNA from 1 species
AUUGACGCUGGCGGCAUGCCUUACACAUGCAAGUCGAACGGCAGCGGGCCUUCGGGUGCCGGCGAGUGGCGAACGGGUGAGUAAUGCAUCGGAACGUGCCAUUGAGUGGGGGAUAACGUAGCGAAAGUUACGCUAAUACCGCAUAUUCUGUGAGCAGGAAAGCAGGGGACCGCAAGGCCUUGCGCUCUUUGAGCGGCCGAUGUCAGAUUAGCUAGUUGGUGAGGUAAAGGCUUACCAAGGCGACGAUCUGUAGCGGGUCUGAGAGGAUGAUCCGCCACACUGGAACUGAGACACGGUCCAGACUCCUACGGGAGGCAGCAGUGGGGAAUUUUGGACAAUGGGCGCAAGCCUGAUCCAGCCAUGCCGCGUGAGUGAAGAA